CUGCUCUAAGAUUAUACCAUUGACUUGCUAAUAAGAAGGAGUAAAAUUCUUACAAAUGAAACUUCACAUUAGCUUGUUCGAACUAUGAAUUACGGCGUAGGGACCUGUUGCCGCAAGCAUACGACUUGACUUAGGCAAGGAGCUUUAAGUAGCAGAGAAGAUUUCACUUCGAUCUAUUAUGACUCCC
rnacentral:rRNA from 4 species